AAUUUCUCUCCCUCUCGACUGUUCUUUUUACUUCUCAACUCUUCAAUGGUGAAGCCACCUGUUCUUUACUCUUUUCUGUUUGUCUACAUCUCUCUCAAGCUUUGGUGAAGGUUUCUCUUUAUCUCCGACGAACUGCGCAGACUUUAAAUCUGUCUCUGAAGCUUUGCUGAAGAUUUCUGUUUCUCUCCUACGACCUGCGCAGGUACUUCUUCAUGGUUUAAGCGACCCUAAUUUCUCUCCCUCUGAACUCUUCUUUCUACUUCUGAACUCUUCAAUGGCGAAUCCAUCUGUUCUUUACUGUUUUUGAUUUGUCUGCAGCCUUUAAAUUUCUCUCUGAAGGUUUCCUCAACAUUUCUGUUUGUGUCGGAUGACCUGCGCAGGUACUCCAUCUGUUCUUUACUGUUUUUGAUUUGUCUGCAGCCUUUAAAUUUCUCUCUGAAGGUUUCCUCAACAUUUCUGUUUGUGUCGGAUGACCUGCGCAGGUACUCCAUCUGUUCUUUACUGUUUUCUAUUUCUCUAGAGCCUUUAAAUCUCUCUCUCAAGCUUUCCUGAAGAUUUCUGUUUGUCUCGGACGACCUGCGCAAG